GGCGAACGCUGGCGGCGUGCUUAACACAUGCAAGUCGAACGGAAAGGCCCUGCUUUUGUGGGGUGCUCGAGUGGCGAACGGGUGAGUAACACGUGAGUAACCUGCCCUUGACUUUGGGAUAACUUCGGGAAACUGGGGCUAAUACCGGAUAGGAGCUCCUGCUGCAUGGUGGGGGUUGGAAAGUUUCGGCGGUUGGGGAUGGACUCGCGGCUUAUCAGCUUGUUGGUGGGGUAGUGGCUUACCAAGGCUUUGACGGGUAGCCGGCCUGAGAGGGUGACCGGCCACAUUGGGACUGAGAUACGGCCCAGACUCCUACGGGAGGCAGCAGUGGGGAAUAUUGCACAAUGGGCGGAAGCCUGAUGCAGCAACGCCGCGUGCGGGAUGACGGCCUUCGGGUUGUAAACCGCUUUCGCCUGUGACGAAGCGUGAGUGACGGUAAUGGGUAAAGAAGCACCGGCUAACUACGUG
rnacentral:rRNA from 1 species